GGAGUUAGGAAAUGUAAAGGUGUUAAUAGCGCCUUUAUUUGACGAAGGCUCCAGAGGAAGCCACGGCUAACUCUGUGCCAGCAGCCGCGGUAAUACAGAGGUGGCAAGCGUUGUUCGGAAUUAUUGGGCGUAAAGAGCACGUAGGCGGUCCUGCAAGUCUGUUGUGAAAUCCUUCCGCUUAACGGGAGAACGGCAGCUGAUACUACAGGACUAGAGUACGGGAGGGGAGAGUGGAACUUCUG
rnacentral:rRNA from 1 species